rnacentral:lncRNA from 1 species
UGGCAAGCACUCUUGAUGAAUACGAAUAAAUUCACAGGUGACCUCACCAUUUAUGAGCAACAUGGCCAUCUUUAAUUUGUUGUAAUAUCGUGAAUUUUCUCUUUCUCCUCUUGUGUUUGCCAGUAGUGUAGACAGAUGAAUAUAUUCAUGUCCUCUCUUCAGGCAAGUGGUGCUCAGAAAGGACACCGGAAUUGUUAUAUCCAGCUCUCUCUUCUAAGCUCUGUGCAACCAGACCCGCUAGUUGACUUCUGCCUUAUUUUCAUGAAAUUUUGGGGCAUCAUGUCUUCAGCUUGGAGGAGGAAAGAAGAAAGGAACUACCAAUGUCACCAUGAUUAUAAUCCUGYCUUCAUCACUUUUUUUUGGACAUCCUUGGAACAAGGACACACUGGGUCUGCUUCAGAGUUGCUGGAAUUAUUACAGCUGAUUUUGCCUCGGGCACGGGUCACUGGGGAGCUGAUACCUGGGGUUCCGUUGAUAUCCCUGUCAUUGGCAAGGUAAGGAGAGGUUGACUUGCAUUCACUAUGAGCAGCAGACUAGAAAUAAAUCAUUUUAAUAUGCUUUCUGAAGAUAAAAA